rnacentral:misc_RNA from 1 species
AAUCGUUUAGUUUAAACUUCCUGUUUUGAUAAUUGUAGAUUUCACUUCCUGUCAAUCGCAGAGUGAGCAUGUCACAUGGUGGGAGUGGUAGUAGCUUACAGCAUGAAUGUUAAAGAUUUCAUGGACAGUACACAUUUCGGCGGUGGAAACGAAAAUCUGGAUAAUCCUCAGCCUCCAACAUUUGCAGAUUUGGGCAUUCCCACCGAACAACAAACUCGUCUAACCAUUAUUGGAACGGCCCGAACUUGCAGCAGCUUAACGAAAUGGGAGUGGUUGUACAUGAUCGGUUCUGUUGUCUCUCUGCUUACUUCUAUGAUAUUGACAAUAUAUACGAUGACGAAGCUGGAUAAAACAUCAUUUGACUUUACAUUUGCAAUAGUUUUAAUAUAUACAACUUUUUUCUGUUUUUAUUAUGUGGUUCAUGGUGUUUUAAAAGAGAGACCGUUUGAAUUAAUGGUGUUUGUCACAACUAUUUUUAUCAUCUUGGCAUAUAGUAUUAUGAAUUACUUUGCAAAUUCCAAGAACAAUGACAUAAAAGUGGUUCGUCUUGUACUGGUUUGCAUUCUCGGUCCUAUUUUGAUCAUGGCAGGAAUCUGGCUGAGUCGGGAAUAUUAUCUAUCUGGAAACUUAAUUUACCGCACAGUAGGGGCUAAUAUCAACUUACAAUCCAUGUGUAAAUUGAUGUUUCUCUGUUCUACACUCUUAAAGUUUGAUCUCCAGUUACAGGGAAGCAUGAUUUUACUCGUUAUGGAAAAUGGGACAAAUACUGACUCCACUGAAGCAGUCAUCCUCGGUAUUGGAUUUACUAUCACAAUUACAUUCGUUACAAUUGGAUUUUUAAGUAUGAGGUUCGAAAACAAAAUUCUAGUAAUUUUGUUUGUGAUCUUGAGUAUUUCGGAACCUGCUUACAUCAUUUAUCUAUUUUAUAAGGCGCGCAAUCUAGAAGAAAUUCUCUAUCGUGCCACAUAUCUGUGCGGAUCAUUGGCCAUUAUCGUCUGGAUCGGAAAGGUGGCAUGCAUGUAUUUUGUCAUGAGAAAUUUUGGAAAAGGAUUGAAAGAAAAAGUGUAUGGAGACGAGAAGACCAAAGUUUUGGAUCCGGAAGUCUCGCUUCCACCUCCACAGGAGGAGGCGGAGAAACCGGGUGACUGAGGAAGUUUUGUAUACGUGCAAAGUCGAUCAAAUUCUGCAUUUUAAGAACUAUUUUGAUAAAAUAUGGCGCCACGUGUGUCUGGACUCGAGUUAUUGCACAAUUUAGUCGGAAACGUUGCAAGUCAGGUCAUUUCCGGUUAUUUCUUUAAGGAAAGUUGUAAAUGAACACAAAGAAUGUUGUAGC